AACGCACAUUGCGCCCCUUGGUAUUCCGAGGGGCAUGCCUGUUCGAGCGUCAUUUCACCAAUCAAGCCCCGCUUGGUAUUAGGCGUCAGGCCGGAUCCACCCCCGUCAAAAAGGGGGGAGCCGGCCCGCCCGAAAUGCAUCGGCGAGGCACCGACCCCCGGCGUGUUAGAAUUUCGAAACGUCAGGAGCACCGGUGUUAACCUCUGCCGUCAAACCUUUUUUUUUCUUUCUCAAGGAAACUAUUUCAAGGUUGACCUCGGAUCAGGUAGGAAUACCCGCUGAACUUAA
rnacentral:misc_RNA from 1 species